UACGUGUGGUUUAGAUCUAGAUAAGUUGGUUUAUUUAUGCAAAAACAUUUCAAUCAACUCAGUUUAAAUGCAUAUUAUUACUCUUUUAUUUGUAUGUUUAUGGUGUUUAUGCUGUCUUGAUUCUGUUUAUGCUUUGGAUGUUUGUGAUGUUUUAUGCUGUCUUGAUUCUGUCUUUGUCCUUUCACUGUGUCUCAAGGAAUAAAAGUGAUCAGGAGAUCACGAGGGAGAUUCAAGCUAUAAUGAGAAAAGUUGCUUCCAGCAUAACUUCCUUGCCUUGUCUCCAUGAAACAUGUGUGUCUGAUGUGUUGGCAUAUACUGAUACCGAUGUGGCUGUACCAUUCACCUGGAUCGAGAGCGAUCCCAAGUUGAUCGAAUCCGCAGAGAGUGGUUAAGUUGCAUUCUUUUAAUACUAAUAUUCACAAGGUCGACACACUCAUUUCAUACAAGAACAACAAAGGGGAUGAAGAGUGACUCUGACACCACACAGUCACACUCGCUCGUCUG